rnacentral:rRNA from 1 species
UACAGAGGUCUCAACCGUUGUUCGGAUUCAUUGGGCGUAAAGGGUGCGUAGGCGGUCGCGCAAGUCGGAUGUGAAAUCUUAGGGCUCAACCCUGAAACUGCAUUCGAUACUGCGUGGCUCGAGUACUGGAGAGGAGACUGGAAUUUACGGUGUAGCAGUGAAAUGCGUAGAUAUCGUAAGGAAGACCAGUGGCGAAGGCGAGUCUCUGGACAGUUACUGACGCUGAGGCACGAAGGCCAGGGGGAGCAAAACGGG